CUAAAGACAACAGGAGAAGAAACGGUCACUACAUCAAGAAGUCUGAUAAAAAGCUGAGCUGAGACUAGAUGGUGAAAUUUGUACGCAAGCUAUGUUCCAAGUUUAUGGUUCCAGCAGCUCUGCAGUGCCAUGAGGUGCCUUGUGAAAUUGCCUUUAAAGAAAAGGCAAACCAUUUACCAGGUUUCCCCAUCUCCUCCCAUACCAUGGGCCAGAG